rnacentral:lncRNA from 1 species
GAAGAGCAGUCAGUGCUCUUAACUGCUGAGCCAUCUCUCCAGCCCCCUUCUUCCUUUCUCAUUGGGUCACUGGGGAAAGACCUUGGCAUGUAUUAAAUGCCUUGAGUGGUCAAUCUGCGGAUGUGGCUGAAGGAGUGGCUGUUAAACUUUAGACUCUUUCAUUUUUCUUUUAAUGAGCAAGGUGGGCCUGGAUGGAGGAGAGAUAAUUACAGGCUUGCUUGCACCUUUGUGUUAAUGGCCACUGAAGAACUUCAGAAGCACUCACCAAUUGAGCGCUGAUCCAAUCUCAUGUACGGGAUACUCCUCAGGUCUUUUCUUUUCUAACUUUCUGGCUUUCAUUUCUGUUGGCAGAAGGCGGCUCCAGGGCCCCACUAUUCUGCAAUAAAAGCAGGAGCUAUUGCCCAGGCUCUGUGUUCGUAGCCAGCAGUGGGGACCUGGAGGCUAGUGACCGCAGCCACCUGAACCUGUUCCCUAGGGUGGCCACGAGGUCUCCAGGAAGGUGGGAGUUUCCAAAAUGAUACAUGCACCGUUUCUGAGUGUCUCUGACUUGCGAGGAAUAAACAGCUGCGUUCUCCCUGAAUAGGCCCUUACUUGGAGCUCAUGUCCGUCUGUCCAACCAAUCUAUCCCCUUCCGCCCCCCUACCCUCCGCACCCCCCACCCCAGUCACUGAGGCCAAGUGACCUAAAGUGCCAAGUCCAGCAGCUCCUCCAUUGUCCCUGCUUCCCGCUCUCCAGAGAGGAGGUGUGGAGUCUCCUGCUUAGGCUGAUGUCCCUGCCUGGGUGCCUUUCACUUUGUCCUGGGCCUGGGUCUGGAAGGCUCCACUCCC